rnacentral:rRNA from 1 species
CAGUCGCCGCGGGAAUACGUAGGUGGCGAGCGUUGUCCGGAUUUAUUGGGCGUAAAGGGAGUGCAGGCGGUCUUUUAAGUCUGAUGUGAAAGCCCACGGCUCAACCGUGGAGGGUCAUUGGAAACUGGGAGACUUGAGUGCAGAAGAGGAGAGCGGAACUCCAUGUGUAGCGGUGAAAUGCGUAGAUAUAUGGAGGAACACCGGUGGCGAAAGCGGCUCUCUGGCUUGUAACUGACGCUGAGGCUCGAAAGCAUGGGGAGCAAACAGGAUUAGAUACCCCUGUAGUCCCUGUCUCUUAUAC